GAUGAACGCUGGCGGCGUGCUUAACACAUGCAAGUCGAACGAAGUAUAUUGGAAUGAGUUCUUCGGAACAAAUGAAUUUAUACUUAGUGGCGGACGGGUGAGUAACGCGUGGAUAACCUGCCUUACACUGGGGGACAACAGUUAGAAAUGACUGCUAAUACCGCAUAAGCGCACAGUACCGCAUGGUACGGUGUGAAAAACUCCGGUGGUGUAAGAUGGAUCCGCGUCUGAUUAGCUAGUUGGUGAGGUAAUGGCUCACCAAGGCGACGAUCAGUAGCCGGCCUGAGAGGGUGAACGGCCACAUUGGGACUGAGACACGGCCCAAACUCCUACGGGAGGCAGCAGUGGGGAAUAUUGCACAAUGGGCGAAAGCCUGAUGCAGCGACGCCGCGUGAGUGAAGAAGUAUUUCGGUAUGUAAAGCUCUAUCAGCAAGGAAGAAAAUGACGGUACUUGACUAAGAAGCCCCGGCUAACUACGUGCCAGCAGCCGCAGUAA
rnacentral:rRNA from 1 species